UACGUAGGGGGCUAGCGUUGUCCGGAAUCAUUGGGCGUAAAGCGCGUGUAGGCGGUCCGGUAAGUCCGCUGUGAAAGUCGGGGGCUCAACCCUCGGAUGCCGGUGGAUACUGUCGGGCUUGAGUACGGAAGAGGCGAGUGGAAUUCCCGGUGUAGCGGUGAAAUGCGCAGAUAUCAGGAGGAACACCAAUUGCGAAGGCAGCUCGCUGGGACGUUACUGACGCUGAGACGCGAAAGCGUGGGGAGCAAACAGG
rnacentral:rRNA from 1 species